AUGGAUCCCAUGCAUGUGCCUACCAGCAUGGUCAAUAGAAUGAGACAAGAGGAGAGAAUCCAUGUUUCAAAUGUCACAAACCCUGGUCCAUUGCCAGAAAUGUCAAGAUUUGUAGCUAAUGCUAGGGAAUCCAUUCCUGAGAGAAGAUCAACUACCACUACUACAACCAGGGGAAGGCUCAGGGGAAAAGGAAAAGCAAGGGCUCUAGAUCAGGGAGAAAUCAGUUGUACUGCAGGGAGAGGGAAAACUAAGAAAGUUAAAAGUGGGGAAGCAAUGCUUCAAGAGGUGGUGGAAGAGGGGGAAACAAUGCUGCAAUAA
rnacentral:rRNA from 1 species